rnacentral:rRNA from 1 species
CAGCCGCCACGGUAAUACGUAGGUGGCAAGCGUUGUCCGGAAUUAUUGGGCGUAAAGGGCUCGCAGGCGGUUUCUUAAGUCUGAUGUGAAAGCCCACGGCUCAACCGGGGAGGGCCAUUGGAAACUGGGAAACUUGAGUGCAGAAGAGGAGAGUGGAAUUCCACGUGUAGCGGUGAAAUGCGUAGAGAUGUGGAGGAACACCAGUGGCGAAGGCGACUCUCUGGUCUGUAACUGACGCUGAGGAGCGAAAGCGUGGGGAGCGAACAGGAUUAGAUACCCCCGUAGUCCCUGUCUCUUAUAA